rnacentral:lncRNA from 1 species
GGGGGUGUGAAUCGUCGGCCUGGUCAGGCUGCCAUGGCAGACCAGCGACAGCGCUCACUGUCCACCUCGGGGGAGUCGCUGUAUCACGUGCUGGGGCUGGACAAGAAUGCAACCUCGGAUGACAUCAAGAAGUCCUAUCGGAAGCUGGCCUUGAAGUAUCACCCUGACAAGAACCCCGAUAACCCGGAGGCGGCAGACAAGUUCAAGGAGAUCAACAACGCCCACGCCAUCCUGACCGACGCCACCAAGAGGAACAUUUACGACAAGUACGGCUCGCUGGGUCUCUACGUGGCCGAGCAGUUCGGGGAGGAGAACGUCAACACCUACUUCGUGCUGUCCAGCUGGUGGGCCAAGGCGCUCUUCGUCUUCUGCGGGCUCCUGACCUGCUGCUACUGCUGCUGCUGCCUGUGCUGCUGCUUCAACUGCUGCUGCGGCCGGUGCAAGCCCAAGGCCCCUGACGGCGAGGAGACCGAGUUCUACGUGUCCCCCGAGGACCUGGAGGCGCAGCUGCAGUCCGACGAGCGGGAGGCCGCAGACGCUCCGAUCGCCGUCCAGCCGGCCUCGGCCACGGAGACCACCCAGCUCACGGCCGACUCGCACCCCAGCUACCACACCGACGGGUUCAACUAAGUUCAGGAAGAGCUGCAACGAGAGGGUCAGCGCCCGGCCGGCCGCUCAACCUUAGAAUCAUGAACUGUAGUCACAGAGCUGGCGCGGGAGCCGCUCCGGCCACGGGAAGGGCAGCGCCCGCCCGCCCGCCUCUGUGCCCGCCCGCCAUCCGUCGAUCCCGACCCACGAAGCGCGUAGCAUGCAGUAUUUAAAGCAGUUUAGCUACGGUCUUCUGUUGUUCCUUUCUUUGACAGCAUGUAUGGGUUCUGUUCCAUGUCCGUCUGUGUUGUGGGCGUGUUGCAGCCAGGCCGUGUUCACCCGGCGGGGCGGGGGCAGGGGGGCGCCUCAGGGCUUUCAGUCCGGUCUGUGCCCUGGGUGGAUGGCCCGCGUGGCGCCUCGCGGCCAGGCGGGCCCAGACAGGCUGGGAGCUGUGGGGUCUGCCCGCUGCCCUCUGUGCACGACCGUGUGGCCGCAGGCAGGGCCGUUGGACUCAGGCGCCUGGCGGGAGCUGGGCCCAGCCGCCCGGCGUGGCCCUUCCGUGGUGUUGGUCCCGAGGACAGUCUGUGCGGCCUCUUCGCCUUGUGGGCUCGGCCUGGCAGCGGGCGUUCCCCGUGUGCGGCUGUGGCGGUCGCUGCAGGAGGCUCUGCUGACCACAGUCUUGCCGUGUCGGACCUGAGGCCGGUCCCCGCCCCCUCACCAGGCGUGGGAACGGUCCCGCACUUGCCCAGGCCACGGGCCGGAUGGACAGGGCCCCCUCCCGCAGCCCCGCUCCCCCCGCCCGCACCUUGUCUUCGCCCACAUCUCUGCAGGACCCCCUGGCCCUUUCGGGACCCCCUCAGCAUCGCAGAUGGCAGCAGUGGCCCGGGCCUCGGGAGUCGGGGGCUGAGAGUCCUGGCUGCCGGUGGCGAGCGGCCGUACAGCCCUCCCCUGUGCCACCCAGAGCGCCCAGCCGCCCCCUUCCUUCGCAUGGUCCCUUUGGCUGGUGUUGAUGGCUCGGGUAGAGCUAGAGGCAUCGGACUCAGAGGAAGGACCAGCUGGACCAAAGGCGCACUCUGGGUAGAGGGGUGGGUUCCAGGAGGCCCUGGGCCCUUCAGCGUGUUUGCCCGCGGCCAGGCCACGGAAGCCCUGGGAGGGCGCUCCUGCCUGGCCUGUGCGUGACACUGCCGGGUUUCUGCAGAACGAGCCGAGGGAACAGCCAGUGGGAAGGACGGGGUGGGGGCCGCACGCAGGGAGGUCAGACGCACCUGAAGUCACUGGCGGCAUCGGCGGCGUCCCCUGNCCCCCCCCCCCCCCCCCCGCCGCCGCCGCCGUGGCCCGAGCACUCCAGGAGCCGUGCUGGGGGAGGCCCCGUUUUGUUGGGGGUUUUGUGCGGGAGGAUGAUCACGGAGGUGUCCAGUGAGGGAGGUGCGCCCUGAUACUGAGCUAGAAGGGCCCCGGGCUUGGGCUGCUGGGAGGGUUAGGAAAUGCACUGUCUCACCGCCCAGGACGGGGAGGAGGCCCCAUGCAGGGCGGUCUUCACUGCCAGUUCCCGUCCAGCAGCAGGAGUCCAGCCCGAGGGGGAGGCAGCCAGUCUUCCUGCUGUCUCUGGAAAUAACUAGGAAGUGAGUUGUUUGCCCCGAACGGCCAAGAACCCAGCUCAAAGCUUCGGGCAGGAAGCCGCCCCUGCACCGUGUCUGUGCUCUUGCUUUGUGUCCAGAAGCACUGAGGCCCGUGGCACACGCCAGUGGUCCCCUGCCGGGGGUCUUUCGGUUCUAGAAUCUUACGGAUCGUCUCCUAGAAACAUGACGCUCCCUGGAGGCCCGGGUGGCGUGGGAAGGAGGGGCAGGUCUGGGUCGAACCCGUCCCCUGUGGGGUUUGUAAAAAUGAGAUAAGUGGUGAGUGAUGACAGCAGCCCUCAAGCCGAUGCUGAUGCUGCCCCGAGGCCCAGGCCCCCGGGAGCUGAGCCCGGGUCUGGACCACCCCCCGCCUGACCCAACCCGAAGCGUGUCCUCUCUGGGGUCCGGGGCAGAAGCCUUUCCCAGGGGUCUACUGUCCACACUCGCAGGCCGCCUCCUGGCUGGAGACCAAGGUCCCCGGGUGCCCUUUGCCCGCGUGGUUGUCUGUUCUCUGGGGAGCAGUGUCGUGUCUGGAGGGGUGCAGCCGCGCCUGUGCUCGGCAAGGACAGCUCUCUGCCUGUCGUGGUGGGGACAGGCGUGCUGUGGGCCUCACGCUAGGUGGCCCGCCGUGGCCAGGGCUGGGGGACCCGAGGGUGGGUGGGGACAGGGCUGUGCACGUCUCUGUUUGUGCGUGGUGACUGGUUCCCGGGCCUUCGGGCCUUACCCUGCUUCCCGCUGCUUUCGCUGUGAGCCCUCCCGCUUCUCUGGUCAGUCGAGUGGGACCGCUGGGCAAAGCCUGGGCGCGCUGGGCGGGGCGGGCGGCGUGUCCACACCGCUGGCCGGGGAGCCCGUCCGGGGCGGCCUGGUCAGCAUCUGGAGGGAGUGCGCCCGGGAGAGCCCUGCCUGUCCUGGCUCAGUGCGUGCGCCCGGGGGGCAGCUUGGAGGCUGUGGCAACGGGCCUGAUCGCAUUCCUCUGGCGGCUUCUGAGCUGUGAACUCUGUGACCCGGGACUCACCUGUUGCGCUCCUCCUCCUGUGGAAUUGGCAGCCAGCUCCGUUUCCUCCUGUCGUUUCAAGCACGGUUGGCGUCGUCUGCUGUAGGUGUGGGCGUAGUGUGGGUGUAGUGUGUGUACAUAUGUGUAUAUGUAUAUAUCACGCAGCAGGCGUGACUGCUGCUAUCCAGUGGCGAAGCAACAAGUACAAUAAAAAUCGGCUCCAAAUUGGCCUCUGGUUUCUUGACGAGUCGCGGUGGGAGCCGGGCCUCAGUGUCUGGUGUCUUGCUCCUUGCGCGGAAGGCGGCACCGACCCCACUGUGCGCCCGGAGCCGGUGCCUGCCCCCUGCGAGUCCAGGGUGGGGGCAGGACCACCCAGGCGGCGACUGGGCAAGCGCUGCCCAUCCCUCCCUGGGCCCCGUUGCUCUCCUGACCCAGAGGUGGGUGGCACGGCCCUGUGACACUCAGGUGGCUGGAAACCCUCCCUCUCUUUAAACAUGAAAACCAGUUUAUGCACCAGAUGGAGUCUGACAGCUGUGCUCAGAGGGCCCCUGUCCUGCACACAGACCCACCCUGCGGGUUCCUGAGGAAGACGGGGCCACACCGCCACCCUCCAGGAGGGGGCUGGCCGCGGCGCGUCUCUGGAAAAUGGGGUGAUGUGGCGGGGGAGGCAGUUUACACUGAAACGUUCCCGACGUGGUGAGAAGCUCUGUGCGGGUGUGGGAACCGUUGUGGUCCCCGUGCUGCUCUCGUCCUCCUGGGGCCUGACCUCUGCCCUGGCGCCUGUGCACACCGGGGGCCAGUCUCUUCUGUCUGAAUGUUGACCUGUGAUAAAGAUAACGUGUAAAAUAAAUGUUUUCACCG